rnacentral:rRNA from 1 species
GGGGGGGGGGGGGGGGGGGGGGGGGGGGGGGGGGGCGGGGGGGGGGGCGGGGGGGGUGGGGCUCUGAUGUUGGCGGCGGACGGGUGGGUGGCACGUGGAUAACCUCCCUAUCAGCCUGGGCUCACUUCGGGAAACCGGAGCUAAUCCCGGAUAAUAUUUUGAACCUCAUGGUUCAACAUUGAAAGACGCUCUUUCUGUCACUCAUAGAUGUAUCCGCUCUGCAUUAGCUAUGUGGUAAGGUAACGGCUUACCAAGGCAACGAUGCAUAGCCGACCUGAGAGGGUGAUCGGCCACACUGGAACUGAGACAAGGUCCAGACUCCUACGGGAGGCAGCAGUAGGGAAGCUUCCGCAAUGGGCGAAAGCCUGACGGAGCAACGCCGCGUGAGUGAUGAAGGUCUUCGGAUCGUAAAACUCUGUUAUUAGGGAAGAACAUAUGUGUAAGUAACUGUGCACAUCUUGACGGUACCUAAUCAGAAAGCCACGGCUAACUACGUG